rnacentral:lncRNA from 1 species
GGGCCCAGCCUCGCCCUGACCUUGCCCGAGGGCACGGCCCCUCACGGGGGGGGGGUGAGGAAGUCCCGCGUCCCCCCCCCAGCCGUGCUUUGGGGGGGGGGGUUUGGGGGGGGCUUUUUUUUUUUUGGCUCCUUUUCCUGUUGAGGACACGAGCCGGGUGCGGGGGAAGGAGCAGGUCUGGGCUAAGCCCGUUCGGUUUUUAUUUAUUUUUUAUUUAUUUUUUUUAUUAUUUUUUAAUUUUUUUCCCCUUUUCUGGUGCUGUCGGGGGGCCGGCAGCAAAUGGGGGAAGCAGCGGAGCCUGCCGGGCCACCGUCCCCCCCCCCCAACCCUUUUAUUCCCCCCAAACCCAUACAAAUUUCCUCCCACAUUCAGGCCCGGGGGGGGGUCCCCCCAAAACCCCCCUGGGAGCACCCCAGGAGCGGAGCCCGGCCCCGGUGGCUCCUCUCGGGUGUGGGGGGGAUUUGGGUUUUGUCUCCUUCCUGGGCUGGAGCUUGUAGGGGGGGACGUCCCCCCCCCCGCUGCCUUCGGGGUGCAGGGGAGGUUUCCCCCGCGCUCACGCCUGGCUCAAAGGGGCGCUUCGGAGAGCUGGCGGGAUGCUCCAAAAACCCCUAAAAAGCCCCAAAAAUCAGCUGGGGAGGGGAAGGGAGACGAGCCGGGAGCUGCGGGGCUGCUUCAGGCCUCGAAAUGCUCCAAAAAAAAAAAAAAAAAUAAUAAUAAAACGCCAGCCCCACGCCCAGCAGGGCGAUCCCUCCCCACCGCCGCAGGAAGCUCGACGCAAAGCGAGGAAACGCCUCCCAUACACAGCUCGAAACGCCCUGCCUGGACGGGCCGGGGGCCGCGGCGAGGGACACCCCAAAAUCCCAUCCCAAAUCCCUCCUGGCACCGGCAAGCUCCUGGCCACGGUGUGGCACCGACCCUGCGGCGGCCGGCAGCCAGCGGCUCCCUGAAAAAACCGUCUCGGAGGAGGGAGGCGAUGAUCACACGGCUGCUUUUAGAUUUUUUAUUUUUAUUUUGACAUGAAUCCUGCGCAUCUCACCCCGAAAAGGCCGAGCUGCGUCCCGCCUCCAGCACCCGGCCUCGGGCCGGAGCUGCUGUUUGCGCGCGGCUGUGUUUUGGGGUGUGUUUUUUUUUUUUUAUUAUUUAAAAAAAGGAGCCUCUUGAAGUUAACAGAGCGAUUUUUUGGAUCGAGCAUCUUUUCGGAUACUGCCAAAUAGAGGCUUUUUUUUUUUUUAAAAUAAGGGGGAAAAAAAAGCUGGCUUACUGUC